AUUUAUGUAGUUUAAAUAAAACAUUACAUUUUCAUUGUAAAAUUAAAGUACUCUUUCAUAAAUU
rnacentral:tRNA from 1 species